GGCAGGGGCUGAGGGCACAGCCAGCGGGCGGCGCGCCGCGGACUCCAAGGCAGCCCGCCAAAAGUGUGGCUUCUGCCUCCACCGCUUAUGAAAACAACUUCUCUUGACGUCAGCAGUGACUACUGAGCAGCGAUCUGCACUCUUACUCAACUUCUUGAAGCAUUGGACAGAGCUGACUCGUCCCUUUUCUGUCAUAAGAAUCCUGAACAUCAUCAUAAAAAGACAGUCACCAGUCCUGCUCAUCUGGAGGACUGUUCUCACAAUCUUCAGCAAGGAGAUAAAACAGAGUACUGCAGAGAUGAAGUAACUUGCCCUAAGACCCAUACCUGGUAAGUAAUGAAAGAAAAAGUAAAUUACAUUUGAACAAAUAUUUUGAAAAACAUGGAAGUUCUCCAUAAUCUAGCACUUCAAAUAUAACCGUAGUUU
rnacentral:lncRNA from 10 species